GUCCCACACAGCCCCGCCCCGGCCGGACUCAGCCUCAUCUCACUCCGCCUUCCUGCGCGUUGUACGGUUGCCAAGGGGACGCACCACUCUCCAGGACCUUCUGGGCGCAUCUGGGGACUAAGAAAAGCCAGAGACAGCUCUGGAGGCUGGGGCAUCCAAGUGCAUGGCUGUGGCAUCUGGCCAGACAAGAAGAAGGUUUAACAUUAGACACCUGAGUGGCUGCUGUGAUAAGAUACCAUUAAACAUGAUGGCGUGGUGCUGAUAUGAGAAAGUUCUUGAAUCCCCAGAUGUGGAACCCAUGGAUAUGGAGGGCUAACUAUAUACAUCCCAUGCACUGAGAAAAUAGGAAAUGGC
rnacentral:lncRNA from 1 species